rnacentral:rRNA from 1 species
UCCUACGGGAGGCAGCAGUGAGGAAUAUUGGUCAAUGGGCUUACGCCUGAACCAGCCAAGUCGCGUGAGGGAAGACUGCCCUAUGGGUUGUAAACCUCUUUUGUCGGGGAGUAAGACCCGCCUCGUGCAGGCGGAGCGAGAGUACCCGAAGAAAAAGCAUCGGCUAACUCCGUGCCAGCAGCCGCGGUAAUACGGAGGAUGCGAGCGUUAUCCGGAUUUAUUGGGUUUAAAGGGUGCGCAGGCGGACCAUCAAGUCAGCGGUAAAAUCGUGGGGCCCAACCCCAUCCCGCCGUUGAAACUGGCGG